rnacentral:rRNA from 1 species
ACUCCUACGGGAGGCAGCAGUGGGGAAUUUUGGACAAUGGGGGCAACCCUGAUCCAGCAAUGCCGCGUGUGUGAAGAAGGCCUUCGGGUUGUAAAGCACUUUUGUCCGGAAAGAAAACGCCGCGGUUAAUACCCGUGGCGGAUGACGGUACCGGAAGAAUAAGCACCGGCUAACUACGUGCCAGCAGCCGCGGUAAUACGUAGGGUGCAAGCGUUAAUCGGAAUUACUGGGCGUAAAGCGUGCGCAGGCGGUCCGCUAAGACAGAUGUGAAAUCCCCGGGCUUAACCUGGGAACUGCAUUUGUGACUGGCGGGCUAGAGUAUGGCAGAGGGGGGUAGAAUUCCACGUGUAGCAGUGAAAUGCGUAGAGAUGUGGAGGAAUACCGAUGGCGAAGGCAGCCCCCUGGGCCAAUACUGACGCUCAUGCACGAAAGCGUGGGGAGCAAACAGGAUUAGAUACCCUGGUAGUCCACGCCCUAAACGAUGUCAACUAGUUGUCGGGUCUUCAUUGACUUGGUAACGUAGCUAACGCGUGAAGUUGACCGCCUGGGGAGUACGGUCGCAAGAUUAAAACUCAAAGGAAUUGACGG